rfam:Octopus bimaculoides Scaffold10950_contig_17, whole genome shotgun sequence.
GGUUCCAUCUUACCAAACAGCAUUAGAUGUUUAUACAAAAGUUCUAAUACUGUCAGGUAAAGAUGUCUCU